rnacentral:rRNA from 1 species
GACGAACGCUGGCGGCGUGCUUAACACAUGCAAGUCGAACGGAAAGGCCCUGCUUUUGUGGGGUGCUCGAGUGGCGAACGGGUGAGUAACACGUGAGUAACCUGCUCUUGACUUUGGUAUAACUUUAGGAAACUGGGGCUAUUAUCGGAAAGGAGCUCCUGCUGCUUGGCGGGGGCUGGAAAUUUUCGGCGGUAGGGGAUAGUCUCGCGGCUUAUCAGCUAUUUGGUGGGGUAGUGGCUUACCUAGCCAUUGACUGGUAGCCGGCCUGAGAGGAUGAACAGCCUCAUUGGGACGGAGUUACGACCCAGCCCCCUACCGGAGGCAACGGUGGGGAGUAUUACACGAGGGGCGGAGGCAUAAUGCAGCAACCCCGCGUGCGGGAUGUAGGCCUUCGGGUUGUCAACAGCUUCCGCAUGUGCCGAAGAGUGAGUGACGGUACUGGGUAAAGAAGCACCGGCUAACUACGUG